GUCAGGUUGAGGUUUAGGGCCACGAUUAGGAUCACUUUUAGGGUCGGGUUUAGGAUUAGGAUCAGGUUUAGGGUCGGGUUUAGGAUCAGGUUUAGGGUCAGGUUUAGGAUCACGUUUAGGGUUGGGUUUGGGGUCGGGUUUAAGGUCACAUUUAGGGUCACAUUUAGGGUCGGCUUUGGGGUUGGGUUUAGGAUCACAUUUAGGGUCGGGUUUAGGGUCACAUCUAGGGUCACAUUUAGGGUCGGGUUUGAGGUCGGGUUUGGGGUCGGGUUUAGGAUCACAUUUAGGAUCACAUUUAGGGUCGGGUUUGGGGUCGGGUUUGGGGUCGGGGGGGGCCGUACCUUCGUGCUCCUCCCACUCCCACUCCCACUCGGAGCCGUCGCUGUCCCCAUCGCUGUGGGGCGGCCCCACAUCCAGCAGUGCUCCGCGCUCCUCCACG
rnacentral:lncRNA from 1 species